rnacentral:rRNA from 1 species
UGUUUGAUCCUGCCCGUCAUCACAAAUUUGUUUCAUAAAUAAUCCAAGCAUGUCUAAGUAUAAAUAAACAAUCCAAAGGAACCCCGAAUGGCUCAUUAAAUCCGCCAUCCAUCGUUUAUUUGAUCCGUUAUACUACAUGCCUACUGCUAAGUAAAGGUAGAGUUCAUGCAUCUUCAAGGAGUGGCUUUGGUCACUCUGCAUUUGAUAGAUAAAAAAACAAUGCCCCGUUAGGGCUCCUUGGUGAUUCAUAAUAAUUUAGCGGACCGCAUUCCCUCGAGGAGGCGGUGGAUCACUCAAAUUUCUGCCCUAUCAACUUUCGAUGGUAGGAUAGUGGCCUACCAUGGUUUCAACGGGUAACGGGGAAUUAGGGUUCUAUUCCGGAGAGGGAGCCUGAGAAACGGCUACCACAUCCAAGGAAGGCAGCAGGCGCGCAAAUUACCCAAUCCCGACACGGGGAGGUAGUGACAAUAAAUACUGAUACAGGGCUCUUUUGGGUCUUGUAAUUGGAAUGAGUACAAUUUAAAUCCCUUAACGAGGAACAAUUGGAGGGCAAGUCUGG